GACGAACGCUGGCGGCGUGCUUAACACAUGCAAGUCGAACGAAGAGCGAUGGAAGCUUGCUUCUAUCAAUCUUAGUGGCGAACGGGUGAGUAACGCGUAAUCAACCUGCCCUUCAGAGGGGGACAACAGUUGGAAACGACUGCUAAUACCGCAUACGAUCUAAUCUCGGCAUCGAGGAUAGAUGAAAGGUGGCCUCUACAUGUAAGCUAUCACUGAAGGAGGGGAUUGCGUCUGAUUAGCUAGUUGGAGGGGUAACGGCCCACCAAGGCGAUGAUCAGUAGCCGGUCUGAGAGGAUGAACGGCCACAUUGGGACUGAGACACGGCCCAGACUCCUACGGGAGGCAGCAGUGGGGAAUCUUCCGCAAUAGACGAAAGUCUGACGGAGCAACGCCGCGUGAGUGAUGACGGCCUUCGGGUUGUAAGGCUCUGUUAAUCGGGACGAAAGGCCUUCUUGCGAAUAGUGAGAAGGAUUGACGGUACCGGAAUAGAAAGCCACGGCUAACUACGUG
rnacentral:rRNA from 1 species